CAUAAUUAUUGCACCGAUUUGAGUCCUAGAAAAGCGGUUUCCAAAAUCCCACUUUCCUGUUUUCUUCCUAUGCAGAGACCCUCUAUCAAACAGCCCUCAAUCAGGUUCCCUCAUUCUCCGUUGAUCCACCUCAAUGUUCCUUGCUUAAGGACCCUUCCGAUCAUUUAUGCUCGCGAUUCUCCUUUCAUCGCUUCUCUAGCUAAGUUGUGAGCCAUAGUAUCUGCAGAUCUGUAUGCAUGUUGAAAGGUUAUUUGGUGAAAAGUUGUUUUUUCUGCUGAAUAUUUUGUAUUAUACCCCCAAUCACUGAUUUAUUAGUCUUCUCUGAGUUACUUUUUUAUUACUGAUACCGAGUCCCCUUCGAUAAUAACUGAUGUGAACCCCAUCUGUUUUCCCAUAAACACUGCUUGAAGGCACGCAAGGGCCUCUACUGCAAAUGAAGAGGCCACCUCCCCAUGAGCCACUGUUUUGAAGGCGAGGACCUCCUCCGAAGAAUUUCUAGCCACCUCCACUAAGACUGAUUUUGCCCGAGAGUCAUCAAAAGCGGCGUCGAAACUAAGUUUGAAAAUGGAACCAACUGGUGGACACCAACUUAUGGACUCAUGCCUCGUGAUCACCCACAAAGAGUAGCAAAAUACUCGACAGUGAAUGCUGGAACUAUUAUUGAACACCCAGGUCUAGUGUGACAAAAUCAAUUCUGUUAAUACCCAUGCCAGAUUCGAGCUAACCCAAACUUCUCGCCUCACAAGGCAUUCUCUGAAGAUAUGGUCAAUGUUUUCAGCAGCUGCUCCAUAUCCGGGACAUACUACAAUCGAGAGCAAUCUCUUGCACCGAAGAUUAACAAAAUGAUGAUUAAAAUUCCAAGAAAUUUUCCAGAUUAGGAUUUUAAUUUUCCCUGGAAUGUGAAUAUUCCAUUAUUUUUUGUAAAAUAAAUUAGCCUCAGUCUGUAAAUAAUUAGGAAGAAAGCCAUGUAAUAGUUUAUAAGCACUUCUCACAAAGAAUUCUAUAGAGGCCUCCCCCUUCUAUACCAUGAAGUCUGCAUGAGGUUGCUAAGGGUAUUCGCACAAUUCUGUUUGCCUCUUCUUUAGAGAAGGGAGCUACGCAUCAGCAGCAAUUGAAAUAUUCUGACCCGUUCUCACCUUUCAACAAAUCACAUUCUUCAGCAAUCCUUUAGCUACCCAUACACUCUUCCAGAUAUAUGAAGGUAGUUGUCCUAACUCAGAAUUAAAAAAAAAAAUCGUAUUUGUAAAAUACUUAGCCUUUAGAACUUUCGUUAAUAUUGAAUUUGGAUAAUUAAGAAUGCGCCAACAUUGUUUA